AAUUAACAUGAACUUUGUCUUUUGCUCUUGAUUUAAUAAAAAUUCCUGAGAGGAAAGAUGUGAAGUUUAAGUUAUUUGAGGUUUAUGUCUGGUAGAACUCAUGAGUCUAUUCAGUUUAUCAAAUUAAAAUUAGUAAGAUACUUAUUACCUCAGAAAAUCUUGUGUGAGACCCAGGAUCCAACUAAGCACAUGCAUUUGUUCCAAACAUAUCAGUAAGAGAUUUUAGAAACAAAUCUCCUGUUUCCCAGGAUAAUUACCAGGUUUUGUAGCCCACUGGGGCUUGGUGACUCCACCUAAUUCAACUAAUCAAAGAUUUAGAUUAAAAUCUUCCUGUUAUUAUACUGCAUGGCCUCUUUUGAGUGAGAGACCUAAUCUGUUUUAGCAAGCAAAAUCCUUAAACUCUUUGAGUAUGUUCACUGGCGGAUUAACACGAAUUGUAAUCCAUUCCAUUUUCCAUCAUAGCAGUUACUGAUUUGGAACCAUUAAGACAUUGGGUGUUCCUUAAGACUGUUAACAUUUGGCCCUUAAAAUCUUGGGGUCUAGAUCAGUCUCACUGCUCAUGGGCAGAGAUCUUUUUUUUUUCACUGACUGAUCUAGAGUGCUUGACCCUUUAUAAAUGAUAGAAAAGGUCUGUCAGUAACAGUAUUUGUUUAAUGAAUGGUAAGAGUUUCAAAAUGACUGCUUGUAUUACUGUUUUGACACCUUGGCCUUAUGAAAUUUGCCACAAAUAAAC
rnacentral:lncRNA from 1 species